rnacentral:rRNA from 1 species
UACGUAGGUGGCAAGCGUUGUCCGGAAUUAUUGGGCGUAAAGCGCGCGCAGGCGGCCUCUUAAGUCUGAUGUGAAAGCCCCCGGCUCAACCCGGGGAGGGCCAUUGGAAACUGGGAGGCUUGAGUAUAGGAGAGAAGAGUGGAAUUCCACGUGUAGCGGUGAAAUGCGUAGAGAUGUGGAGGAACACCAGUGGCGAAAGACGACUCUUUGGCCUAUAACUGACGCCGAGGCGCGAAAGCGUGGGGAGCAAACAGG